UGCCUAAAAGCACCGUGUGGAUCGGGA
rnacentral:sRNA from 1 species